rnacentral:rRNA from 1 species
GCUCAGAACGAACGCUGGCGGCGUGGAUAAGGCAUGCAAGUCGAACGAGAAAGCUCACUUCGGUGAGUGAGUACAGUGGCAAACGGGUGAGUAACACGUGGGUAACAUGCCUCUAAGAUGGGGACAACAUCGGGAAACUGGUGCUAAUACCGAGUAAUAUUGAACUGGCAUAAGUCAGAUCAAUCAAACGAUGGGGAUCCUUCGGGACCUGUCGCUUAGAGAUUGGCCCGCGCCUGAUUAGCUUGUUGGUGAGGUAAAAGCUCACCAAGGCGAUGAUCAGUAGCCGACUUGAGAGGGUGACCGGCCACACUGGGAUUGAGAUACGGCCCAGACUCCUACGGGAGGCAGCAGUCUAGAAGCUUCGACAAUGGGGGCAACCCUGAUCGAGCGACGCCGCGUGCAGGAUGAAGGUUUUCGGAUCGUAAACUGCUUUCGUUCGGGAAGAAUACUUGUCGGUUAAUACCCGGCAUAGGAGACGGUACCGAGUAAAGAAGCUCCGGCUAAGUCCGUGCCAGCAGCCGCGGUAAUACGGGCGGAGCGAGCGUUGUUCGGAAUUAUUGGGUGUAAAGGGUGCGCAGGCGGUCGAAUAAGUCGAAGGUGAAAUCCCUACGGCUCAACCGAGGAAUUGCCUUCGAUACUAUUCGACUUGAGUGAGGGAGGGGAGCGUAGAAUUCCUGGUGUAGCGGUGAAAUGCGUAGAUAUCAGGAGGAAUACCUGUGGCGAAGGCGACGCUCUGGCCCUUAACUGACGCUCAUGCACGAAAGCCAGGGGAGCGAACGGGAUUAGAUACCCCGGUAGUCCUGGCCGUAAACGUUGGGCACUAGGUGUGGGAGGUAUCGACCCCUUCCGUGCCGUAGCUAACGCAUUAAGUGCCUCACCUGGGGAGUACGACCGCAAGGUUGAAACUCAAAGGAAUUGACGGGGGCCCGCACAAGCGGUGGAGUAUGCGGUUUAAUUCGAGGCAACGCGAAGAACCUUACCCGGGCUUGACAUCACCAUAAGGUACCAUACACGGCAGAGAUGUCGUGGUUAGGUAGACAGGUGUUGCAUGGCUGUCGUCAGCUCGUGUCGUGAGAUGUUGGGUUAAGUCCCGCAACGAGCGCAACCCCUAUCCACUGUUGCCAUCAGACCUUCGGGUGCUGGGAACUCUGUGGAAACUGCCGCCGACAAGGUGGAGGAAGGUGGGGAUGACGUCAAGUCAGCAUGGCCCUUACGUCCGGGGCUACACGCGUACUACAAUGGCCAGUACAGUGGGCAGCAAGACCGCAAGGUGGAGCUAAUCCCCAAAGCUGGCCCCAGUUCAGAUUGGGGUCUGCAACUCGACCCCAUGAAGGCGGAAUCGCUAGUAAUCGCGGAUCAGCAUGCCGCGGUGAUACGUUCCCGGGCCUUGUACACACCGCCCGUCACAUGACCCGAGUCGUCUGCACCUGAAGCCGGUGACCUAACCCUUUUGGGAGGGAGCUGUCCACGGUGUGGAGGGUAAGGGGGAUGAAGUC